GAAUAGAGGAUCGGCAGAGGUGCCCGCAGGCAGUUCGAUGGGCUUAAAAGGGAAGACCGGUGAGAAUCCGGCACGGUCCCGCCACUGUGAUUGGGGAGAGAACCAUCAUGAAGCCACUGGGUUUUUCACCUGGGAAGGAAGAUGGGGAUCGAUGAACCAUGAGUCAGGAGACCUGCCUUUGCCGCGUUGGUCAA
rnacentral:ncRNA from 1 species